UUUUCCGGUUGAUCCUGCCGGAGGCCAUUGCUAUCGGGGUCCGAUUUAGCCAUGCUAGUCGCACGGGUUCAGACCCGUGGCGAAUAGCUCCGUAACACGUGGCCAAACUACCCUUCGGAGGGGGAUACUCUCGGGAAACUGAGGCUAAUCCCGCAUACUCCUGGAUAUCUGGAAUGAUUCCAGGGCGAAACGCUCCGGCGCCGAAGGAUGUGGCUGCGGCCGAUUAGGUAGACGGUGGGGUAACGGCCCACCGUGCCGAUAAUCGGUACGGGUUGUGAGAGCAAGAGCCCGGAGACGGAAUCUGAGACAAGAUUCCGGGCCCUACGGGGCGCAGCAGGCGCGAAACCUUUACACUGCACGCCAGUGCGAUAAGGGGACCCCGAGUGCGAGGGCAUAUCGUCCUCGCUUUUCUGUACCGUAGGGAGGUACACGAAUAAGGGCUGGGCAAGACCGGUGCCAGCCGCCGCGGUAAUACCGGCAGCCCGAGUGAUGGCCGAUAUUAUUGGGCCUAAAGCGUCCGUAGCCGGCCGGGCAAGUCCGUCGGGAAAUCCACGCGCUCAACGCGUGGGCGUCCGGCGGAACCUGCCCGGCUUGGGACCGGAAGACCCAGCGGGUACGUCCGGGGUAGGAGUGAAAUCCCGUAAUCCCGGACGGACCGCCGAUGGCGAAAGCACGCUGGGAAGACGGAUCCGACGGUGAGGGACGAAAGCUAGGGUCUCGAACCGGAUUAGAUACCCGGGUAGUCCUAGCCGUAAACGAUGCUCGCUAGGUGUGGCUCCCGCUACNAGCGGGUGCUGUGCCGUANGGAAGCCGCUAAGCGAGCCGCCUGGGAAGUACNUCCGCAAGGAUGAAACUUAAAGGAAUUGGCGGGGGAGCACUACANCCGGANGANCCUGCGGUUUAAUUGGA
rnacentral:rRNA from 1 species